rnacentral:rRNA from 1 species
UGGCUCAGAUUGAACGCCUGCGGCAUGGCUAAAGCAUGCAAGUCGUACGCGAAACCGGCUUCGGCCGGGAGUAGAGUGGCGAACGGGCGAGGAAUGCGUUUCUAACGUGCCCCAAGGUCGAGGAUAGCUCGGGGAAACCCGGGGUAAUACUCGAUGACCCCCAUGGAUCGCAUGGUUCGUGGGGCAAAGGCUUGCUGCCUUGGAUCGGGAAACGCCCUAUCAGGUUGUUGGUGAGGUAGCGGCUCAGCCAUACAAAGGCGGGUAGCGGGUGUGAGAGCAUGACCCGCCGCAUCGGGACUGAGACACUGCCCGGACUCCUACGGGAGGCUGCAGCAACGGAUAUUGGGCAAUGAGCGAAAGCUUGACCCAGCAAUGCCGCGUGCAGGAGGAAGCCCCUCGGGGUGUAAACUGCUGUCAGGGUCUAGGAAGUUCUGACCAAACCCAAAGGAAGGGCCGGCUAACUUCGUGCCAGCAGCCGCGGUAAUACGAAGGGCCCAAGCGUUAAUCGGAAUCACUGGGCUUAGAGGGUGCGCAGGCGGAAUGGUCAGUGUCUUGUGAAAUCCCACGGCUCAACCGUGGAACUGCAGGGCAUACUGCCAUUCUUGAGGCCGGUAGAGGCCGCCGGAACUCUAGGUGUAGCGGUGAAAUGCGUAGAUAUCUAGAGGAACGCCAAAGACGAAGGUAGGCGGCUGGGCCGGUUCUGACGCUCAGGCACGAAAGCGUGGGGAGCAAACAGGAUUAGACACCCUGGUAGUCCACGCCGUAAACGUUGUGCACUAGGUGCUGGAGGUUCUGACACCAUCAGCGCCGAAGCGAAAGUGAUUAGUGCACCGCCUGGGGAGUACGGUCGCAAGGCUAAAACUCAAAGGAAUUGACGGGGGCUCACACAAGCGGUGGAGCAUGUGGCUUAAUUCGAGGCAACGCGAAGAACCUUAUCCUGGGCUUGACAUGCAUGGACUAACGCUGGGAAACCAGCGCCACACUCUUUGAGUGGAACAUGCACAGGUGCUGCAUGGCUGUCGUCAGCUCGUGCUGUGAAGUGUUGGGUUAAGUCCCUUAACGAGCGAAACCCCUGUCGCUAGUUACCAUCAGGUAAUGCUGGGGACUCUAGCGAGACUGCCGGUGUCAAACCGGAGGAAGGCGGGGAUGACGUCAAGUCCUCAUGGCCUUUAUGCCCAGGGCUGCACACGUGCUACAAUGGCGCCGACAGAGCGAAGCAAAACCGCGAGGUAGAGCAAAUCGCAAAAAAGGUGCCCCAGUUCGGAUUGCAGUCUGCAACUCGACUGCAUGAAGCCGGAAUCGCUAGUAAUCGCGUAUCAGCAACGACGCGGUGAUACGUUCCUGAGCCUUGUACACACCGCCCGUCAAGUCAUGGAAGCCGGGAGUACCCGAAGUCGCACCGAUUCAGGUGUGCCGAUGGUAAGCUCGGUGACUGGGACUAAGUC